AGGGAACGGGCAAUGAGUCCAUGUAUUUGUGUUUUCAGGGAGGUGUUAGGGAAAGGUGGAGGAAGGCGAAGAGAAGGCUAAGGAAGCCUAAGAACUGCGGCUGCAGAGUCACGGAAACACUUCGCUCCGCUCCAGGAUCACUGGCACAGGCCUUUGCCAGGGCGAACUCCGGGCAAGACCCGUGACCCCACCCCAGAAAACUCCCGACUCCCGGGCUGGAGAAGGUAGCCAAGAUCAUUCUCAGUUGCCAUAUGGCAAAGACACAGGAAGCUGCCCUGUGUAGAGACCCACAUGGCAAGGAACUGAGACAUCCUGCCAACAACCACCAGAGUCUGAGGCCUGCUGCCAUCACCACGUGAGUGAGACAUCUUAGAAGUGGAUCCUUCAGCCUAAGUCAAGCCUUCAGAUGAUUGCGUCUUGACUGCAGCCUCAUCAAAGACCUUGAACCAGAACCACCCAACUCAGUUACUCUCAAAUGCUUAACCCAUAGAAACUAUAGCGAUUAUGGCUUGCUAUGGCAGUCAGCCCCCAAGAUGGACCCCAUUGAUUCUGGACUCCUGGUGCCAAAACCAUUGUACCCAGAUCAACUGCAAACAAGAACAGAGUUUUAAUGGAAAUUUUAAACAAGUAAGAUGAAAAUCCUGAAGCAUUUCUUUCAAGAAUUGUAACAGGAGAUGAAACAUGGCUUUACCAGUAUAAUCCCGAAGACAAAGUACAAUCAGAGCAAUGGCUACCAAGAGGUGGAAGUGGUCCAGUCAAAGCAAAAGCAGACCUGCCAAGAGCAAAGGUCGUGGGAAUAGUUUUUUGGGAUACUUAUUUUGCUUGUUGACUUUCUGAAGAGCCAAAGAACAAUAAUAUCUGCUUGUUUCAAGAGUGUUUUGAGAAAGUUUGCUAAAGCUUUAGCAGAAAAAUUCCUGGAAAAGCUUCACCAGUCUUUUUCUACCGCAACAAUGCUCCCACUCAUUCUUCUCAUCAAACAAGGGCAAUUUUACAAGACUUUCAAUGAGAAAUCAUUAGGCAUCGACCUUACAGUCCUAAUUUGGCUCUUUCUAACUUCUUUUUGUUUCCUAAUCUUAAAAAAUCUGCAAAGGGCUCCCAUUUUUCGUCAUUUAAUCAUGUAAAAAAGACAUGGUUAAAUUUCCAUGAAUCUCAAUUUUUUUAGGGAUGGAUUAAAUGACUGGUGUCAUCACUUACAACCAUGGUUGACCUCGAUGGAGCUUAUGUUGAGAAAUAAAGUUUAUAUUCUUUAUCUUUUAAUUCAAUUUUUCCAUGAACAUUUUGAAGUGCCUCAUAUUAUAAAUGAUAUUUCAUUGUUAGUGGUUCAUUAAUAGGGUAUUUAAAUACAAUUCUUUUUUAAUAUUAGUCCUGUACACUGAGAUCAUGUUUAAAAACCUAUUAGUUCUAGUAGUAUUUUAUAGAUUUCUUUUGAUUUUCUAUGUAUACAAUCAUGUUUCUCCAAAUAAAGAGUUUUAUUUUUUUCCUUCCA
rnacentral:lncRNA from 10 species